UGGUGUUGGGCGUUUUGUCUUUGGCUUUUGCCCAAAGACUCGCCUUAAAACGAUUGGCAGCCGGCCUACUGGUUUCGGAGCGCAGCACAUUUUUGCGCUUGCAACUAGCUAAAGAGGCCAGCAAUCCAUCAAGACCUUCUUCUCACUUUUGACCUCGGAUCAGGUAGGGAUACCCGCUGAACUUAAGCAUAUCAAUAAGCGGAGGA
rnacentral:rRNA from 1 species